UUUAUUGGAGAGUUUGAUCCUGGCUCAGGAUGAACGCUGGCGGCGUGCCUAAUACAUGCAAGUCGAGCGAAUGGAUUGAGA
rnacentral:rRNA from 1 species